ACGAUGACUAAUCAGUAUGGAGACAUUCUAAUUUUUAUGCACCCUUUUCUGUACAUAUAAAGUUGUUGCUCAGAUUAAAAUUGGAACGUUUUAGAGCUUUUAGAAGUUUUGAAAUAAAAAUAAUUUAUUUGGCUAUUGUCUAAGAAGUUGUAGGGUAACGAGUAACAGCCAUUCAUGAGCUUAUGAAAUCGGAUGGUGCAAUGUACUGUGUUUGAAAAACACCCAGCUUUUAAUUGUACAGAAAAAUUAGUGAGAAGUCCAGACAUAUUUGACACAUUCCCAUUUUCCAUUAUGGUUUAAGACUACAUUGGUGACAACAAUUACAAUGAUGGGAACAAGAUUUAAAUGAUUUAUAGUCAUACUUCUAUUAAACACACUGAAGAGGUUUACAAUAGGCUCCUUAGACUAAAGAAAUCUCAUGUGGAAUUGAUGUUGAUUUUCCUCCUGUUCCCCGGCACACCAUUAGGAAGCUACAGAAAUCAUACAACAAGAAUAGUUUGGCAAGCUGUGUUUGGAUUCAUUUUGAAAAUAUUUAUCAGUAUAGGUGGUACUGAGUUCAGCAGGUCAGUGACUUGACUGAUGAAAAACUGAAGAAAUAUGAAAAAUGUUGUCAAGUUUUUGGAGACAGUGGGGGUGAAAUGUGUUACGAUAUGUAAGAAAUCAGUUAAUGUGUGUGUGAGUCAACUGCAAAUUAGGAUGCUGAAGCUGAUUGGCUGAGCUAUGUCUGGAGAGCUGUUAAGCCUGGGAGUUUUUGAUACUGUUGCAAUUUUGUUCAGGCUUGAGCUAUGGAGGUGCAGAGGCAGUUGAAACAGAGAGAAGCAGAAAGAGAGAAACACGGAGUUUAAAGUGUGCUCUUGCUUCAUGAGCUGCUAGAAGGAAUCUAUCCACAUGGACAAAGGAAAGACUAUUUUAAAUCUCUCAUGAAAGGACAUUAUCCCGUCAGUGAAGAUUAAGCAGCAUGAGGACUGACCCUGAUCUUCUCUGCAAGUUUGCUGCUUAAAGGACAUGGGCAGGAAACGGACAGCCUGAGGAUACAAUGAAAGGAAACAAACACAGCAGAAAAAUUUUCGCUGAUAACAUGUGCACUGAGUUAGUGAGCAGCUUCAGCCAGUUGUCCAGUUACUGAGGCCAAAGUCUAUAUAGUACAAGCUGACUCUGAUGUGGCCAUGUCAUACAACAUUGUAUAGAGCUGGCAAUGGAUACCUGACAUAGUAGGCAGGGGAGGCAAAGUGCUUUCAUACUAUACCAUGUUUUGUGAUAUAAUUUAUCAUUUUACCUAAUUAUUCCAAUUAAGGAAUGCUUGUUUAGGACAUUAAUUUCAACUUGAUAUCCAGUUAUAUUUGUAAUGUAAAAUGUAUCAUUUCAUCUCAUUCUGCACUAUCAGUAAUUUAUAUUUAUGCUAUUAUUCCAGUAUUCAUCAAGCACCUGCUUUGACUGAAAGCUAUCAACCUGUGGUUUAUAUUUCACUGUUCCUCCAAAGAGCUCUUGGUGGUGCACAAUUCUUUCUUUCUCCUCCAUUUUAGGCUCGCAGCAACUUUAUGAGAACAAGCAAAAGUGAUUGGCUGAAGGUAUAUUCGCUGUAAGCUGAACUGGAGAUUUCAUAGUUUCUCCAGUUCUAAUUCUAGUUUUGAACCACUUAAUUACAUUGGUCCUCGGUCUGAAUUUUUCUGUAUUAUUCUGGGACUUUGUAUAAUUUUUCUGCUAUGAAAUUAUUUUUCUCUUAGUUUCUUCCUGCGAAUAGCAAUAAUGCAAUAUAGAAUUCAACAUAUAAGGUGUACAUGUGCUUUAGCAUAUUUGAAUCAUAUUAAUGAAUGUUGGGGCUUAUAGAAGACUUGGAUAUAAUAUAAUUUAGCACCAGCUAUUAAAGCUACCUUUUUACCUGUUAAAUAC